UACGUAGGGGGCAAGCGUUGUCCGGAUUUAUUGGGCGUAAAGAGCGUGUAGGCGGCCAGGUAGGUCUGCUGUGAAAACUCGAGCUCAACCUCGAGACGCCGAUGGAAACCCUCCAGCUAGAGUCCGGAAGAGGAGAGUGGAAUUCCUGGUGUAGCGGUGAAAUGCGCAGAUAUCAGGAAGAACACCCGUGGCUAAGGCGGCUCUCUAGUACGGUACUGACGCUGAGACGCGAAAGCGUGGGGAGCGAACAGG
rnacentral:rRNA from 1 species